GGCCUGCUUCUUUGAACCUAAAUCAUUCUGUCACUCAGCACUGUCUCCCAGUGGCCCCAGCAACAGUAACAGACCCGACUUUAGCUGGACAUCUAGCUAAGGCCUGGUCUACACUAGAAAAUCAGAGGGUUGAGAAAGGCACAGGAAAGACAUGCUGGAAGGGAGAGGCAGACAGGCUAGGAAAGCCAGAACCAAGAAGAAUCUCUGGGUGGAAAGACCUCUUCCUGCUCCUUGCAGAGGAUACAAAUUAUCUAUACGAAGUAUCACCCAUAUGCAGGAGAUGGUGGAAUCUGGAAAAGGGAGCUGCAAGUGCAAGCAACAGGUGGAUGUUUAUUACAUUUCUCCUACUAGAAGAAUGCCAUGAACACUUAAUGAUACCUACCAUAUGCAAAGAUGUUCCAGUUACAAGUCCAUAUGACAAAAUGAAGGCCUCUCUGUUGCUCGUGCUAUAUUUAAAGCACACAGAAACGCAACUUUUUUUUUUUUAUAGUC